AAGCCGGAAUCGCUAGUAAUCGCGGAUCAGAAUGCCGCGGUGAAUACGUUCCCGGGUCUUGUACACACCGCCCGUCACACCAUGGGAGUCGGGAAUGCCCGAAGUCAGUGGCCCAACCGGAAGGGGGGAGCUGCCGAAGGCAGGCCCGGUGACUGGGGUGAAGUCGUAACAAGGUAAC
rnacentral:rRNA from 1 species